GCCCUGUGGUUACUGGAGCCUGCGUCCCAUGCAGUGCUGCAGUUGUGUAAGGGGCCGAUAUUAACACUGUGAUUUAUGCAUGGCGCUAACAUCUCGUUAGUCCUCAUAGCCCGGUUGCAGUGACAGCU